rnacentral:rRNA from 1 species
CGGAUGGGUGAGUAACACAUAGGAAUCUGCCCAGUAGCGGGGGACAACUUGGGGAAACUCAAGCUAAUACCGCAUACGCCCUACGGGGGAAAGCGGGGGACCUUCGGGCCUCGCACUAUUGGAUGAGCCUAUGUCAGAUUAGCUUGUUGGUGGGGUAAUGGCCUACCAAGGCGACGAUCUGUAGCUGGUCUGAGAGGACGAUCAGCCACACUGGGACUGAGACACGGCCCAG